ACCCAGCUGUAAAGAAUAAUACUUGAGUAUUAAUAGAUAUGUUCUUUAAAUUCAAAGAAUUUGGCGGUAUUUUAGUCCCGUUAGAGGAACCUGUUCUUUAAACGAUAAAACACGUAAAAUCUUACUUAAUUUUGUUAUAGUUUGUAUACCGUCAUUAUUAAAUAAUCUUGAAAGAGUUAACUAUUGGGGUUAACAUAUAAAGUUAAAUGUAUUAGAUCAAGGUGCAGCUUAUAGUUAAGUAGUAAUGGGUUACAAUGAUAUACACACUUAAAACGAAUUGUAGGUAGAAUUAUUUACAAGAAGGUGGAUGUAAUUGUAAAAAUAAUUUAAUAAGAUAUUUUGAGAUAGGCUCUAAAUUAUGUACAUAUCGCCCGUCGCUUUCAUUUAAGAUGAAAUAAGUCGUAACAUA
rnacentral:rRNA from 1 species